GGGGAUGCAUGGAUUCGACGGGGAAGGCUGGUCACGGAUGGCAAGCCGAGGUGCUCUUCCUCGUUAAACCAGAGCAAAACAAACAAGUGCCAAAAACACUGUAAAGCCGGCGUUUGCGUUCCCCAAGAUGGCCGCGAGCGUCGCUCUCGCUGCCUAAUCCGAGGGUGAGCAGACGCCUCAGUCACCAGAGAGCGUGACUGCGUCCACCCCGACCUCUCCUCGUCGGGCCGGGAGUGGGCGUGAGAGCAGGCGAGGUGCGGAUGGGGGGACGCCGAUACCUCCAUCCUAAGACCGAUCGGCUGGCCUGAUGGCCCCGUGUCAGUCCGGUGCCCUCAGGCGAGAUCCAACGACUGACGAAGCUUGUACAACCGUCCGUGGCCGAAUUCUUCGGACGCGGGUUCGAUUCCCGCCAUCUCCACCU
rnacentral:tmRNA from 1 species